rnacentral:rRNA from 1 species
GGACGAACGCUGGCGGCGUGCUUAACACAUGCAAGUCGAACGGAAAGGCCCUGCUUUUGUGGGGUGCUCGAGUGGCGAACGGGUGAGUAACACGUGAGUAACCUGCCCUUGACUUUGGGAUAACUUCAGGAAACUGGGGCUAAUACCGGAUAGGAGCUCCUGCUGCAUGGUGGGGGUUGGAAAGUUUCGGCGGUUGGGGAUGGACUCGCGGCUUAUCAGCUUGUUGGUGGGGUAGUGGCUUACCAAGGCUUUGACGGGUAGCCGGCCUGAGAGGGUGACCGGCCACAUUGGGACUGAGAUACGGCCCAGACUCCUACGGGAGGCAGCAGUGGGGAAUAUUGCACAAUGGGCGGAAGCCUGAUGCAGCAACGCCGCGUGCGGGAUGACGGUCUUCGGGUUGUAAACCGCUUUCGCCUGUGACGAAGCGUGAGUGACGGUAAUGGGUAAAGAAGCACCGGCUAACUACGUG